CUUCUUGGCAUCAGCUGCUGUCCCUCUGUCUCAAGGGAAGCAGCAUCUGGGAAGUCGACAGACUUCAAGGACUGGGUAAGUCAACUAGAGUGCACCUGGAAAUCCUCUGUCUCUGGCCUCUGGGCUCUCCAGCUAUCUACAGCAGUAUUGGUCGUCUGUGCUGCCAUCUUGGCCUCUGUGCCAUCUAGACCUAACACAGGUUAGUCUGUGGUGCCUUUUGGACCUCUGUGAAGUCUGGACCCAACACAGGUCAUCUGUGGUGCCAUCUGGGUUUGAGACAAGAUCUCAGGACUUUUCCCCAGCCUCCCUUCUUCAGGGAGCAGUUUGGAGUCCCCUGUCUGCAUCUGCAUCUGUGUUUGUGUCUCUGUUUAUUGUUACCCCUCUCUUUGAGGGUGCUUUGGCAUGGUCUCCAUCCCACCAGCCAAGACUAAGUCAGAAAGUAGCAAGAUGGGUUGCUGCUCUCCUCCCUAGGGGAGAAACAGUUUCCAACAUCCCAGCCCUGGAUUUUGUCAUCGUCUUUGGGACUCUAGUGUACUUCCUGUAUCUGUGUCAAGCUUUGUAGGGGGAGAAAGCAUGUGAACUCUUUUCUAGACUAUCUGGGACUUGAGCUGGUUACAUAUUAUGGCCAGUUUCUGUGCACAUUUUACACUGAUAGGCAAAUGACAGUAAAGAAAAUCCAGAGCUCAAAUGGUUAACAUGGAACUAUAAAGGUCUCACUGGAUCAGGCACUGUGGCUGCAAAUUCUGCUCACCCACCCCCAAGGAAGAAAAGGAAGAACUGUUUUUUCAGGAAAUCUCCAAAAAAUUUGCUCUUUCCAGGUUCUCAUAUCCCAUGGGUGAGCCCCUUCAUCUUUUCUCUCCAGGAAAUAAGAUGCUGCUAAAAUCCUGAGAAAACCAAGGGCCAGACCAAUAGCUAGCCAAAGAGUGGACAGGACCUCAUGAUGGCAUAGGAUGGUUGACAGUGGUGCAAAUCCAGGUAAAGCAUUUUUUUGAUGCAUGCUCUAUGCAUCAAAAAACACAACAGCAGCAUACUCCAUGAUAUGAGAUGGUUAUCUCUUCAACAAUGUGACAAAACUCUUCAACUGACUGAUAAUAUGUGGCUAGGAUGGCAAAAUCAGAGUAGUCUUUGUAACAGAGCCUAUCCUUCCUCCUGGGUUUGGCUGUGGGCCUGAAGCCCUCAUGGUUGGCCUUACUUAUCUUAUAACUGGACUGGCAGAUGCACCUGCAGGCACCCUUACCCACCAGGAUGUAUCCUGUCCCAUCUAGACUCUCCCUGCCAAUUGGGAAAGCAUAGCUAGACACUGCCAUAAAAAAUGAUCAUUCCCAGUUGUUCUACCCACUAGCCAUCUUUUCCUCCCAGGCGGCAGCCAAAUAUAUAUCAUUACAAAUAGAGGCCCUGGCUAAACAUAUGACCACUGCCUUUAAUAACACCCAUCAUGCCAUCACCCUUCUCACAAAAGAAAGCUCACAGAUUAGACAAGUGGCCCUGUAGAAAUGUGUGGCCUUAGGCAUCCUGACUGCAGCCCAAGGAAGCACUUGUGCACUGAUAAGACUGAAUGUUAUAUAUAUAUACCAGAUUAUUCUCAUUAAAACCCAAGCUAUACAUGCAUUGGACACCCAUAUUUCUACUAUCAAUGUUCUCUCCCAGGACCCCAUAACAGCAUGGUUUAGUCAACUUCCUAAUGCAUGACAGACUUUUAUGUACAGUACAAUUGGUAUUCCGUUCAUUGUCCUCUUUGUCUGUUGUGGACUUUAUUACUAUUAUGUACUUUGCAUGGGGAUGCAGGACAGACUUUCUCAGAAGCUUCUAGGUCCUCACAGCAUAAUGCUCCAGCAAGUUCCUGCUGUGAGUCUGGGGACUGGAGACUAUUUCCAAGGCCAGGUUAAUGAAUUCCAUUCUGAUACCCCUACUACAGCCCUUUGCAGCAGGAAGUGGACAGAUCGACUGUGUCACCCACUUUCCAUAGAAAUGAAAUGGAAUUUGACAGUGGGGAAUUGUAACUGAGUAUCUCAGUCUCAAAUGCAUUUUCAAACUUUUUUCUUUCUUUCUUGCCUUAGGCCUUGACAUACUUUGAAACUCUUUGUUUCUCCCUUUUCCACCAGGCACUUCUGUGAACAGUGUUCACUUACCUAAUUAUGUGCUUGCUUAGAAAUUCCAGGGGUCAAUUUUGAAACAAACCAGGCAGCGAGACCCCAGCGUAGAAUCCUCUCAGUCAAGGGGAGUUAGGAAUAGUGAGCCCACCACCACCAUGCCAAAGUCAGGAUGAUGCAAACUGGAUCUCCUGAUGGGUGACUACUCAAGAUAACCAUGGAAAUGAGACAUGCAGAUCCCCUUUUCACCACUCUCACAUGUUUCUCACACCUUUUCCUUCUUAAGCCCCUCUCUCAGCCCAGGAGAAUGAGAUGGCUCCUUUAAGGCUUAAGCCCAGCCAUUCUCACAUCUGCCAACAUUUGACCAAUAAAAUCUGCUUUCCUUCUACCACACCUCACUUCUCAUGCUUUGACUUCUGAGUGAUGAGCAGCUGGACUUGAGCCGGUUACAGGAGGCUAAAAAAGAGUCAUUAAAGUGAGAGGCUCCAUGUGGGUGGUGUGCCUGGGAUUGAGAAGUAUGGUGAACUCAGAUCUCAUCCAGAAAAGAAGGCCAACCACUUAUGGGAUCACUCACAAUUAUGAAUGCAUCCAUUGCCCCAGUAAAAGAGAAAGACAUUGAUAAACAAAGAGAAAUUGCCCUCUUUUCUCAGCCCCACUCCCUGCCUCUGUGCAGCAGUUCAUUUCCUCAGCACUAGAGUUCCAUACACCAGGGAUGGCAGACACAAACGUCUUGGGGCCAGGCAAAAAAAGGUGACUCUUAAUACCUCCAGCACAUCUGUAGGAUGCAGUGGGAGGUGUCCUUCCAAGAUCCUGUUCUGAUAAUUAGUCAGUUUUCCAGCAACGUCCUUUUUUUUUUUUUUUUUUUUUUGGCUGAAUGCACACGGGCUUUGUCUUAUGGGAGUUCCAAACAUGGGUCCUCUGGUCCCCACCCACUGGGGUAUUAGCUGAUUCCUGAACUGAACUCAUUGUAUUCUGAUUACAGUGGCUUUCUAGAAAGGUGUGACAUCUAGUCAGAAAAGUGCUUCUCAUGUUUUUGCUGAAACCUGGAGUCUUGUUAAAAGGCAGAUUCUGAUAGGCAGGUCUGGGUGGGCUUUGUGAUCCUGAGCCCUUAAGAGUCUCUUCGGCAAUGUAGUUGCUGCUGGUCCUGGUUUGAGGACCAUGCUGAAUAAUGAGCUCUAGAGCUCAUUUUGCUUCUACUUUUUUCACUCUGUGCUGUUUUUAAGAUCUUCCCAUGUUGCAUGGCUUCUGAUGGGUAAAUAAUCUAUUCCAUGGCGUGCACUCCCCAGUUUUCUGAUCCAGUCAUUCUGAAAUGGACCCUGGCUGCUUUUAGCUCCUCACACAGCUGUGCUGAGGGCAGCAUCUGCACGGUGACCCCCACCGGCUGCAGGAGAGCUUGCCUAGGGUGUGAGCAUACACUUAAUUUGUAGAGGCCCCCCUCCUUGGUUGACAGUGGCAGAAACAUAUCAGCCUCUGAGCACCCACGCCAAGAAGCAAUGCCAACACUUGGCAUACCCAGUGUUUUGUUAUUCCGAUGGGCUAAAGUGACCCACUUCUGUGUAAUUUCCAUUUUCCAACAAAUCAUGUAUUCUCUUCAUGUUUGGGAGCACUUGGAGUUUCUUUCUGUUUUUGCCUAUUUUCAUCCUUUGUUUGCUUUUCUAAUACAGUUGUAAUCUUCCAUUUGGUAAUUUACAGGGAUAUAUCUGUAUCUGUGUAUAUUACACUAGAUAGCAGUCCUUUUUCCAUUUCAGAUAUUGAAUAUAUCUUGCUCCAGUCCAUUACUUGCCCGUUAAGUUUGUCUCAAGUGUCCUUUGUUGAGCAGAAAUCCUUGAUGUAAACAAAUUCAUCCCUUUGGCCUGAUGAUUUUUACUUUCUGGGUUUUAAGAAGUCCUUACUCACCUCUCUGUCGUAAUUCUCCCACGUCAUUUUUUAUUCACUUGUGGUUUUAUUUUUUACUUUUAAGGUUUUUAAUGUUUCUAGAAGCUACCUCUGUAUGUAAUGAUUAUAGAGAAAAAUAAA
rnacentral:lncRNA from 1 species